UAUGUAUAAUCCUCGUAAGCAUUUAUUUCGUUCAGUCCAGGGGCGACCCUGAGGCUUGAGGGCUGGCUAGUGAGCGGAAUUAAUUUUCGGCUGCCACGGCAUUCAAGCCAUGUCCCAUGCAGAACAUGGAAACAAAAACAUACAUAUGUACAUACUUAUGUGUGUAUGGGGAUCAUCCAAAUCGCAUUACCAAGGCCCAUUGUUGUCCCUAGUCGUUGUUUUUCGGCUCUUGUUGCGUCAGCAGGUGAGUUCCAUGUGUGUGAGUGUGCAAAGUUAUUAAAACCAUUCAAAACGUUUACUCUGAAUCCGGCUCACCUCUCCGAACUCCCCCCACCGCCAAGCCGCACCCACUGGCACACCCUAUCUCUUAGUCCCAUCCCCAUUUGGAUUCCCAUUCAUGCCAUACAUGCAGUCAUGUGUGCGCGGGCCUGUAAUUUGCAUAACAACAUGCCGCCCCCCCUCCCCCAUCCGUACAUUGGGACACAAAUAGGUGUUCAAGGACCAAAACGGAAUAUAGCCCAUCGAUAGAUGCUGACUGACAAGGGUACCAAUACAUACAAAAUGUCCAAUAUACAAAAUUACAAACCGUUGCAAAUUAGCCACAAUAGAGCGUGUCAGGGGCGGGACGGGGCCCACAAGGUAAUACAGUAAUGGCUGGUGUAAAGGGAUAGGGUCUGGAUAGAAUUGCUUGUUGCUUUAAAAUUUCUCAAAUAUACAAACCUUAAAGGGACUCCCGCAACGCUGGCUCGAAAUUAAAGCCAAAGUUGAGACCCAUAUUCUAUUCGACAUACAAUGCCGAAGUUGAAAGGAGGAUGGGGCCUGCCCCUGUCUGCCCCGGCAACGGCAACGGCCCGAUAAAGUCUCAUGCUUAUGACAUGAAAAGUUCAGUCAGCCCUUCCUUCCCGUUGGCCCAUAAAAGUGAUGAUUUUUACUGUAUUUCCCGUGUACAUGGCCCAAGACAAUGUCGGGGAGAUUGUUUGCGGGCUGGAAGUGUGUCAGGGGAUACAGCAAUCCCCACUUGUUGCCCGGCCAGAGCAGCUCCCGGCAGUGAAACUGCAGUUUUUCCGUGGCCAACGAGAGCACACUCCGCUCAUGUCAUGGAUGUCACACCCAGGUGGGUGUAAGAUGAGUGUUUUGCGGAUGGGUGGCUUGGUGGAGCUACAUGGAUGCUAUUUCGUUUGGAUAACUGUUGAUUUUUAUGCACUGCCAUCGUCGGAGAGGAAUGAGAAAUUGGGUUUGCGGUCUUCCAGUCAAAUGCACUCUGAAAUGGCUUCAUUCGAUUCGGAACCAUUUGGGCCGAGUCAUGGAUGUUGUUGGCCCUCUGUUUCCACAUCGAAGGAGUAGUGGAAAUUCAUUACAGCAGUCUGCUAAAGCUUAAAAAGCCGAUGCCGUUGUACUUCAAAGGGAAAUGACUUUUCUGUGGUUUUUGCGUACCCUUCUGGCGGGUUUAAAUUUAAACCAAACAUUCAAGAAGAACGUGUUGUUUUCACUGCAUAAAAGGACCAUUUGUAAUUUGUGAGAAAUUUAGGUGUGGUCUGCACUGAGAGAAAACAGUCACAAGCAUAAUUUUGAUGAAUUUUGAUGAUGCUAAUCUAAAUAGAGCCCCUAUUAAAGAUGCCUUUUUAAUCUGCCUUCUAAAACGAUUAAAGAUUUUCAACAAACUCCUCAGUAGUGAGGGGGGAAGGAGGGUCGCACAUUUGGCGUAUGCCCGCUUUUCUCUGGGGCAAAUGUACUACAUGCAUAAAAUUAUGCGAAAUCAGCGCCGGAGCUGACAAACAAUCCGCCGCAGCCGAAACAGCUGUGUAUGUACGUGGCAGGGAUGGAUGGGGCUGAGAUACGGAGAAGCACUUUAUUUGCCCGCUGGCACGUAAAAUGCUUUAUCCCCGAUUCAUUGUCGCCACAAAGAUGCUUUAUCGCCGCCAGACUACAGAUUCCUGCGCAGCAACGAAUAUGAACUCACGCCAUCUCGUACCUGUCUAUCCCGCCUGCUGGUGGAGGCGGGGCAGGACAUGGCUACGGGACAAGCGAAUAUUACAUCCCGCAUUUAUCUUCUGGGCAAGGACAGCGGCAACGGCAGCGGCCCCAGCAACUUUGUCUUUAGUCAUUCAAUCUGACAGCCGGGAGUCAUCGUCAUCCUCCGCCCAACGAACGCUUUUUGGGGAUUAUGGAUAAUCACCUCGACAGAGGAGAAGCACAGAGAAGAGAGCAGAGGAGCGGAAAUUUACCUACAGCCAUAUAGAAGUGCCGCCCUGGUGAUUUUCCCACCUUAAAUCAGUUGGAACGCGCUUUCUUUUGCACAUGAUCCGUUGGGACGGAUCGAUAGUGCAUUCACGAUUGCGUGCAUCGCGGCAGCAGCUGGUAAAUUAUUAAUUUGUACGACGAACGUGCUUCGCAGGUACGACAUCAUCUUCCCUACUGCACCACGCUUUACCUCAUCGGCUGUGACCGGCCCUAGUGGCCGAUAGCCUCUCCAGCAACAACUUGCUAUGCCGCGAUCCUCUUCUCUUAGCCCUCCAGUCGUCCCCUCCAAUCUCCGCCGUCGGUACCUCCUCUGCGGGUGAUUUAGCCGUAGCUCCUGGUCCUCUCGAGAGGUCCAAGAGAUGACUCCUGGCUGCACUGUAGCAGCACCUGCCUGUCCUGCUAGGGGCCAUGGCCAUCGACAACAAGGAUAUUGACUAUGGCAACCAAGGGAGGAGCUACGCGGGCUAGACUAUAGAUAGAUCUAGUUGUUGUUAGGAUUAAGGAUAUAUAUUAGAUAGUCCGUAUAUUUAGAAAGUAGGUAGAAAUGUUUUCCACUUGUAUAUUUAUUUGUA
rnacentral:sRNA from 1 species